rnacentral:lncRNA from 12 species
UCUCACAUUAGUAUCUCUGCUUAGGGAUUACGUGAACUGUUUUGUGGGGAGGCUGGAUGGAAACCUGCAGCUGUGGUGGAGAGUUUUCUUCAAUGUGUAAGGGCUGGGAUGAGUGAGUGGCUGGGUUAUUUGAGGGCUGGUGUUCCUGAGCCCUCUUUGUCUGGGAUCCAGACAAGCCUUCCUGUUGAGAAACACUGUCCUGCUUCUUCAGUUCAAGACAAACAACAGAACAGCUCCAGCAGGACAGUGGAAGCAGCAAACUGUUUCCAGUUGAUGCUACAAGCAUGAAGUGGCUUCUGGAGUUAUCAAAGCAGAGGCACUGUGCUGGCUGGGAUCUGCAUUCUGUCCCUGCUCCCACAAGGAGUAUGAGGAAGGCUGAGCAGCACCACUUGUUUCUCUUCAACACAAGGUAUGACAGCCCCAAAACACAUCCUCUGCCCUUGGCCAGAAAGGGCACUCACAGUCCUCCCACCCUUCCCAUUCACCAUCUCCCCCUUUUCACACCUGGAAAACACAAAGUGUUGUGCAAUGCCAGCAAAACUUACACAGAAUAGGCCAGGCCUUGGAAAGGUACUUUAGUUCUGUCUUGGUUUGGGGGAUAUAAGCAGGGAUUUAGAGGUAUAAUCCUAUGUUUAUAAUUUUGCUUUGGGUAAGGUGCCAUGUACCAGGGAGAUCCUACAGCCCUGACCUCCAGGCCAGCCCACAAGGGAAGGAGGCAAACUGGAUUGUGGGGUUGUGGAUUCUUAACCUGCAAUGAGAGGGUUGUGCAGGGGUGUUACUGCUGAGUAUAACACACCCUUCCAAAGGAAGCUGCACUCCUGUCUAAUGAAGCCUUUAACUUGUGAGAGGCAAUGAAAGCUGAUUGCUGUACUCAUCAGGCCCCUGGCUUCC